GAUGAAGAACGUAGCGAAAUGCGAUAAGUAGUGUGAAUUGCAGAAUUUAGUGAAUCAUCGAAUCUUUGAACGCACAUUGCGCCCUUUGGUAUUCCUUAGGGCAUGCCUGUUCGAGCGUCAUCUACACCCUCAAGCACAGCUUGGUGAUGGGCGCCUGUCCCGCCCCCCACGGGGGCGCGGACUCGCCUCAAAUGCAUUGGCGGCCGGCGACCUGGCUUCGAGCGCAGCAGAAACGCGUACUCGGGGACCGGGCGCCCGCUCCCAGAAGCCAACCCACCCAGUUUGACCUCGGAUCAGGUAGGGAUACCCGCUGAACUUAAGCAUAUCAAUACGGAGGA
rnacentral:misc_RNA from 1 species